ensembl:lincRNA
GUGCCUGAUGCCUGCUGUCCGUCAGCAGCCUCCCUUACAAUCUUUUUUUCUCUCUCUCCCUUUUUUUUCCCUUGCCUUCUCCUUCUUCACUGAAGCCUAGGGGAGCCAGUAAAGAUUAAAUGUGCUUCUCAAAGGCAGCCACUUCAUGCUGCUAUGUCGAAAGGGCCAUUAUUAUUAUUAUAUUUUAAUAGUAAAAGAGAAAGGGAGAGAGGUUGAGCGAGCGAGAGAGAAGCUAGGUGUGAUGAUGACAGACUAGCUUUUCUGAGAGGAAAAGGAAAAGGGAAGGGAAAAGAAAAGGAGAGCCCCUGAGCUCAACGGAGGAUUGUGCCUGAGAAGAACCUACAGAGGAGGCUGUGCGGGCCCGCUCCGCUUCGAAUGGAUGAAAAAAUGCUAGGCACACAGUGCUGCUGUCUGGUUGCCAUGGAGACCACAGCCUAUUAUCCUGCCUUGUCAUUCAUCAAGAAAGAAUUACACUUGACAGAGGCAGAGGAAAAUGCCUGCAGUCUGCAGCAUAGGAGGAAAAAAAGCUUUUCUUGUCUUCUAUAUGUCCCUUAGGCUAAUGUUUGCACUGAAGAAUGAAAUGAACAGGCAGAAACAAUUAAGCGAGCAGAUACAGUGAAAACGAGCACCACACCGCACUUUCACAGAAAUGGAAGUGUAUGAAGGAAUUCUGCUUGGAAUUUGAUCCCACAGCAGCAAAGCUUUUGCUCCUUGUCAUUUUUCUUCUGCCUACCCCCAGUGCACACCACUUCCCCUGUAUGGGGGAAAAAGAUCUAGGCAUACAAAGGAACUCCUAAAUACUCACAGGCGUGGGAAAUAUUUUCUCUGCUUGUUACUAGUACAAGAUAAUCUCCAAGGAAGAAAAUCCAACUAGAUAUUCUACACUGCAAAUGUCUCCCAAAGCCUGUUAAAUGUUCACAUAUGUCUUUAUGAAAUUUGUAAUAUGGAUUGUUUAUAUAGUCCUGAUUAAGAGCAUGAACAUCAUUAAAAAGGAUAAAGUCAGUUUGAGGAUGGAAAAUUAUAAAGUCAGCUAAAACUGUUACCCACGAAAAAAGUGUGGACUUUUUUUUUAACUUAAUAAUCUGCGUCUCUUUAAAGAAAAAGAUCCAUAAACAGUCAAAAGUGAGUUGUUAAAGGGCCUUCUAAAGUGUAUCAGGAAUUAACAAAGAAGUAAUUAACUCUACCCCAAACAAAUCAGCCAUCACGUGUUUAUAGCAUUUUUGUCCCUCUGUGAAAGCUAUAUCUUCUUUUUUAGUCCCACACUAAGAGAUUUUACGUUGCAAGAGCUUGGCAUUCCUAUUUUUGGAUUGACUGUGUUAAAACAGGGUGCUAUAAUACACAAAGGAGACCUGUUACAACAUAGCAAAGUAAAGGGUCUUAAGGAAGUGGCAUCAUAGGAUCCAUUCUGGGAGAAUCUAUAUUAUUAUCAGAUACAAUGCUUGUAUGAUUGAUUCAAGAUGAGCUCUGUCUGAAUUCAAACUUUAUUUCUAAAGACAGUAUGCAUUUGGAAAUUGCCUUGUGAAACCGUCAGAAUACAGAAAACACAAAGUUUAAACCUUUUGGAUGCCUUCUAGUACCUCAGCAGUGAAUCAGGAAGAUGGACGGCAUCCGUAAGAUUAUACUGAGCGGAAGGCAUGGUUUUUGUUUUUUAUUGAAUCCAUCCUGUAGUAUUUUCCCAAUAAAACACCUCUUGUAAACCAGGGUCUUUGUAUUUUUGUUGUUGUUAUGGGAUUUUUUAAAAUACCAGUAUAAUAGUUUUACUCUACAAUAGUGAAGAUGGGAAGACAGCUGCUAGUAAACAUAAAACCAGUCAUAUAAUGGCAUUACAAUGGAUUUUUUAUUUGAGAUUCCAGGAUGGGGUAAAUUUGUUACCCCAGCAAAUAGCUGGUUACACGGAAACUGACUUUAGGGAACAUUUCCCUGGAAAAGAAGCCAAUUUAUAUUGGUCAAAAC